GAUGAACGCUGGCGGCGUGCCUAAUACAUGCAAGUCGAGCGAACAGACGAGGAGCUUGCUCCUCCGACGUUAGCGGCGGACGGGUGAGUAACACGUGGAUAACCUACCUAUAAGACUGGGAUAACUUCGGGAAACCGGAGCUAAUACCGGAUAAUAUAUUGAACCGCAUGGUUCAAUAGUGAAAGACGGUUUUGCUGUCACUUAUAGAUGGAUCCGCGCCGCAUUAGCUAGUUGGUAAGGUAACGGCUUACCAAGGCAACGAUGCGUAGCCGACCUGAGAGGGUGAUCGGCCACACUGGAACUGAGACACGGUCCAGACUCCUACGGGAGGCAGCAGUAGGUAAUCUUCCGCAAUGGGCGAAAGCCUGACGGAGCAACGCCGCGUGAGUGAUGAAGGUCUUCGGAUCGUAAAACUCUGUUAUUAGGGAAGAACAAAUGUGUAAGUAACUAUGCACGUCUUGACGGUACCUAAUCAGAAAGCCACGGCUAACUACGU
rnacentral:rRNA from 1 species